UACGUAGGGGGCAAGCGUUGUCCGGAUUUAUUGGGCGUAAAGAGCGUGUAGGCGGCCAUGCAGGUCCGUUGUGAAAACUCGAGGCUCAACCUCGAGACGUCGAUGGAAACCGCACGGCUAGAGUCCGGAAGAGGAGAGUGGAAUUCCUGGUGUAGCGGUGAAAUGCGCAGAUAUCAGGAAGAACACCCGUGGCGAAGGCGGCUCUCUGGGCCUUACCUGACGCUGAGGAGCGAAAGCGUGGGUAGCGAACAGG
rnacentral:rRNA from 1 species